rnacentral:rRNA from 1 species
AGAGGGUGCGAGCGUUGUCCGGAAUCACUGGGCGUAAAGGGCGCGUAGGCGGUCCGCUAAGUGUGUGGUGAAAGCUCGGGGCUCAACCCCGAGUCGGCCGUGCAAACUGGUGGACUUGAGCGUGUCAGAGGCAGGCGGAAUUCCGGGUGUAGCGGUGGAAUGCGUAGAGAUCCGGAAGAACACCGGUGGCGAAGGCGGCCUGCUGGGACAUGGCUGACGCUGAGGCGCGACAGCGUGGGGAGCAAACAGGAUUAGAUACCCUGGUAGUCCACGCCGUAAACGAUGGGCACUAGGUGCUUGGGGGAGCGACCCCCUGAGUGCCGGCGCUAACGCAUUAAGUGCCCCGCCUGGGGAGUACGGCCGCAAGGCUG